rnacentral:rRNA from 1 species
UACGGAGGGGGCUAGCGUUGUUCGGAAUUACUGGGCGUAAAGCGCGCGUAGGCGGCUCAGCAAGUCAGGGGUGAAAUCCCGGGGCUCAACCCCGGAACUGCCCUUGAAACUGCUAAGCUAGAAUCUUGGAGAGGCGAGUGGAAUUCCGAGUGUAGAGGUGAAAUUCGUAGAUAUUCGGAAGAACACCAGUGGCGAAGGCGACCCGCUGGACAAGCACUGACGCUGAAGUGCGAAAGCGUGGGGAGCAAACAGG